rnacentral:rRNA from 1 species
AUGGACCAUUCCAUCCCUUUUUCCCGUGCAUAUGCAUCGGACUCAGAUGACGAUGGUCCCGAUGAACAAGUUGAUGCGGAGGGGUUCACGGUGAAGGAGGCCGAAGCUUUCGAGAAGGUAUUUGGUCGGGAUCAUCGGACUACAUUGUUCAAGGAUGUUAGUCUCGCGGAUGAAACCGUGGUAGAUGGUGGCCAAUGUGUACCUCUUGGGGUUAGACCAAGCUCUCAC